CAUUUAAUCCUAGGAAGAAACUGAAUUCAAGGUCUGAGGCCCUAGGGGAGCUGAGGACUUCCCAGUAGCUGAGCGGCUUCUGUUGUAAACAGCCAUCUGAGUCCAGUCAUCUCAAGGACAACCUCUGUUUUGCUGGCGUGGUGAAACAAGUUCAUGUUCCCAGGGCCUAGGAAUGAACUCCUAUCUUGCUCCUCCAAACACUUCCUUAAUUGUCUGUUAACGGCCAAGCCGCAACAAUGACUCUCAAAGAACAGCUGCAAAGAAGACGCAGGCCAGACGACCAGCUGCCUAGAAGAAACAGAAACCAGCUGAGCUGCCUGGAAGAGGUUUAGACCAACCAAGACA
rnacentral:lncRNA from 1 species